UCGAUUUCGUUAACGGCUCCACGUUGCGUCUAUAUACUGUCGGCGUUGCGUCGUAAUUUUUAAUCAGCCGAAUGACCAGUUUAGAGAUCCACUGGCAUGUGAAUGGAAUUAAAAGAGAGAAAGAUCGAACCAAGACGAAACAAUCUACGUUUCGUAUCUUAACAUGUAUUUUUGCAAACUUGGACUCGUCUCUUUCGGGCAUACGUAAUCAGUAAACGUAAAGAAGCUGCUAUACCGAGCGAGAUAAAGUUACAGUUGAAUAGUUGAAGAAGGGUCUCGAAAAAAUGGAACCAGCCGAGACGAAAGAAAGCGAAGAGCAGGAAAGAAAUGGAAUGUCGAGAAAAGAAGAAAAAAGAAACGCGGAAGAGGUGACGAGCUUAGUCAAAUGCACGCUUCAGGGGCUCUGCAUAACUUGUCCACUGCACUCCUCUACUCUUUUGUUUCGUCUACUUUCUUGAUCCAUUGCCGUCGCAGACCGCUCACGCUCGCGCUCGCCGCGCACUUGGCGCCUCUACUCCUCAUCCCACCGCGUUUUCUUCUCUUUUUUUCUUUUCUUUUCUACAUGCAUAUAAUAUACAAUUUAAUACUCAACAGAGAAAAUUAAAUCGCUUUUAAUCGUUAUUCGAUUAAAUCGAUGUUGGAAAAUGUAUCUGCGUAAAUGUUUUCUGCUCGAAUAAUCGAUUACGAUUAGUUUUCGUAAAACAUUUGUCACAUUUCACGCGAAAUAUUUACAAAACGGCAACAUUUUCAACAGAUUUCGACUUAUUUAGUCCGCGUGUGUACUCCUCGGUCAGUCGAGCAACCACGGAUCCAUUGUCUGUUCUUUCCGUUCCCGGUGGAUGUCGUGUCGCGUGUUAGCGUCAGCGUCAGCGUCUGCGUCUGCGUCUGCCCGCUAUAAAUCGCAGCCGAGAAGCGCUCCGCUCAAGAAUACCCGGUGUCGCGGCGUCGGCGUCGGCGUCGACGUUGGUUCGCCGCGGGCUAGAAAAUCGCCUUUUGUCCCUCGGAAUGUUAAUAAUUACUCAUGCAAACGAGCCGUACGGAGUCGAGCCGGAUCGCGGACUCGCAACUGUGCUAGCAUUCACUGCGCGCAUCGGAAGUGUCUCUAUCCCAGUAGUCGGCCAGAAUUAUUUUUCAGAAAAUUUACGCUCGAAAAUAGGUUCGGGUACCGGGCCUCGUAUUUCAUCCAGAGCUCAUGGACCGUGUCUGACCGGAACAACUGUCCGCUAGUUUGUUAAUUUGUUUCAACGGUGACGGCCCGACAGAGAAAUAGGGAAAUAGGAAAGUAGCGUUUCUUCGGAUAAGCCAGGUACUGUAGCGUUUUUGACGCCGCGACGCACAACGCGGAGUGAAUUCUAUCUACGAACUGUUGUGACAGUUGAGCGAUAGCGUAAUAAGUUUUAUCGAAUCGGAACCGGUCUCGUUUCGCGCGGACGCGCGUCCAUCUCGGAAACGAUAGUCGCCAUUGCGACGAGUCAGCUCGCAACGAGGACAAGAAAUCAAAUUAUACAUAAAGAUCGAAGAUCGAUGAAUGGGCUGGGACCUGGCAAGCGGGAACCUGCCCCCCCAUCCGAACAAGACGCUUCGCUGCGCGUCUUCCUUUUUGCUUCUCGCCUCGAACCCUUCUGCUGCGCUCUCGUCUUUCUUGCAAUCGUUCAAAGAAAACAAUCUUUUGCUUCGAAAGAACGAAAAGGGAACGAGACUGGAAAGGAUGCAGGUAUCGCGUUUCCUUUCGCAAACAGUAAUACGAAAGCAGCGAAUUAUCUUGACUACCCACGAAUUACGAGUAGAAAGGGUAAGGAGAAGGAAAGCUCCCCAACGCCAACGCCAACGCCGACGCCGACGCCGAUGCCGCGCCGACGCGAUUCGGGGCCAUUAGCAAAAUUACACGACGUAAAACGCCGGCCCUUUCCGUACGACAUUUUUCUUCGCCCAUUGGCCGAAAAAUGACACAUAUCACUCGAAACCAAUAUACACGACCCGCAAGAAACUUUGUGAUCCCCAUGUGUUGAUUAGAAACGCAUACCGCUCACCUGUU